GUACACUCCUGCGGGAGGCAGCAGUGGGGAAUCUUGCGCAAUGGGCGAAAGCCUGACGCAGCCAUGCCGCGUGAAUGAUGAAGGUCUUAGGAUUGUAAAAUUCUUUCACCGGGGACGAUAAUGACGGUACCCGGAGAAGAAGCCCCGGCUAACUUCGUGCCAGCAGCCGCGGUAAUACGAAGGGGGCUAGCGUUGCUCGGAAUUACUGGGCGUAAAGGGAGCGUAGGCGGACAUUUAAGUCAGGGGUGAAAUCCCGGGGCUCAACCUCGGAAUUGCCGUUGAUACUGGGUGUCUUGAGUAUGAGAGAGGUGUGUGGAACUCCGAGUGUAAAGGUGAAAUUCGUAGAUAUUCGGAAGAACACCAGUGGCGAAGGCGACACACUGGCUCAUUACUGACGCUGAGGCUCGAAAGCGUGGGGAGCAAACAGGAUUAGAAACCCUUGUAGUCCCA
rnacentral:rRNA from 1 species